UGUAAAAUUAAUUUUUUUAUAUAGUUGCUUGGGUUUUUUUUGGUCUGCAUAUUUAAUCUUGUUUUGAUUUAUCAUAGUUUUUAAAAGGUUAGAGACCUUAUUUUUUGCUCCUGAUAGGUAUUGAUGUAUGUGAAAUGUAUAGAGUCUUUCAGUUAUCAGAUAAUGUCAAGAUAUUUUGUAAACAUGGACCAUUUAACCAAGUUAAGUCUCAUUUGCAGAAUAUGUGGAGAACAUAUAACGAAAGACUCAGUUGUUGUGUGUAAAUAUGCUGAAAGAAUUGAAAAUUCAUUUUAUAUUAACACCAGCAUUGACAAUAAAAAUAUUCACUCACAAAAAAUGUGUAGAAGGUGCUAUAUUAUUAUGAGAAACAUUGAAAAAGGUUCUAGCACCAGUAUUAAAGUAGUUGAAUGGCCAUUACCAUGUGCAAAAAAUUAGUACAAAAAAACAAGUGUUCCUGUUUCUCCAAAGUUUCUGGAAGAAAAGCUAAAAAGUGUAAACCUGGUCGGCCAUGUAAAAUGGAACAAAAUCAGAAGAGAUGGACCAGGCCAAUCAUUAAUAGCUUAAUUGCUAGUAUACCAAAACAGACUUUGCGUUUAAAUGCAAUUGAUAUUGAUCCUGUAUCAAAUCCCCAUAUAGACUUAUGUAUAUGCAAGUUAUGCAACAGCAUUAUGUAUAAGCUACUAAUAUUAAAAGAGUGUCAGCAUUCUUUUUGCUCUGUGUGUUUAUUCAGGAAGAUUGAAAGAAAGGUGGAAACAGAAGCAAAAUGCUUUAUUUGUAAUCAAAACAUUCCAUUAAAUACAAUUUUAUAUAACACAAUUGUUAGAGCAAGUCAUGUAUAUACACAAUAUAACACAAUUGUUAGAGCAAGUCAUGUAAAUUAAAAUGUGCAGUUAAAGACAAUCAGCUUUAAAAAAUUGCACGAAGCAAUUUGUAUUGGUGAACAAUUAUUACCAACUCAGAUUUGAAAAAAAACUCAUGAUGGACUUGAUACAACUCUAGCUGAUGUAUUUUUAUUAAAAGAAAAUGAUGCUAUACCACGGAUUGUAGAAGAUGCUGCAUUACAUGUUAUAAAGCAAAAGCUCGUUACCUCUGAGUCAAACUUAUUUGCAUUUCUUUCUGGAGGACCAAGGUUGGCUUAAAACCAAAGAUAUAAAAUGUGCAUCAAAUUAAAAGCAACGAAAAGUAGCUAAAUCCUGGUCUGGAGAGGAAUGGGUAGUUUGUAAUGCUCCGUUUAACUUUCUUCUUAAAGACUCCAGUAAUUUAUUUGAAGUAAAAAAUGCUCCUUGGGGAUACAUCAAAGAGAUUCCGUCACAUAUAAUAAACAAACUCAAUCUUCUAAAAAGCAAAAAUUUGCUACAGCAAUCCAAUAUAAAAAAUGAUGAAAUUCACAUCAACAUUGAUGGUGAUUAUGGCGGUGGAACCUUUAAGAUGUGUUAUCAAAUUGUGAAUGUUGAUAAGCCAAAUGCCAGAAGAAACACAAAUAUUUUUAGUAUUUUUGAAGCAAAAGAAUACAAACCAAACCUUAUUGUGGGUCUUUCAAUGUUCACACAACUAGUCAAUUGCAGUCACUGUGUUGGAAUGAUUACGAGUUUUUAUGCUCAGCAUAUGGAAUUACUGGUGCAAAUGGUAUAAAUUCAAAUAACAAAAUUGUGCAACAAACAAACGUUUUAAAAUUGUUGAAGUUGGUGUUUAUAUUAUUUAGUGACAUUUUAUGGCUUUUUUAACCAUGUAUUUAAAAUGAUAUUUUCAUAUAAGGUCGACAUGCUUGCUUGUUUUGUCAUAUAACUCGUGCAGAGAUAAAAAAGCCAGAGGCUCAACAAAAACACAAUUGUUCCAGUCGCUCGCUGGAAACGCUUGAUAUUCACCACUUUUCAAUAUUCCUUUAACACAAGUUGGUAUUCCAUUAAUGCAUAUCUCAUUGGGAAUUUAUCUAAAAAAUUUUAAUAUGCUGGAAGAUAGCUGUCAUAUUAUAGAUAUAAAAAUUGCAGCUAAAAUGUGUUUAAAAAAUCAAACUGUAAACAACAAAAGUUUUGAUGAAU